rnacentral:rRNA from 1 species
UACGUAGGGGGCAAGCGUUGUCCGGAGUUAUUGGGCGUAAAGAGCGCGUAGGCGGCCAGACAGGUCAGCUGUGAAAACUCGAGGCUCAACCUCGAGACGUCGGUUGAAACCGUCUGGCUAGAGUCCGGAAGAGGAGAGUGGAAUUCCCGGUGUAGCGGUGAAAUGCGCAGAUAUCGGGAAGAACACCCGUGGCGAAGGCGGCUCUCUGGGACGGUACUGACGCUGAGACGCGAAAGCGUGGGGAGCGAACAGG